rnacentral:misc_RNA from 1 species
UGGUUGAAUAAGGGCGAGGGGGGCAAACACUACCUGCGCAAAGGACCUCAAAUUAACAGCUAAUGAUAAAGGGCACUCUCUGCAUUACGGUGGAUUUCUAAGAGAAACUGGGAUUUAUCUGGCGGGGGAUGGUCGACUCGCAACAAAAUGCUCACGUUCAAUGUAAGACAGCAUUCGAGGCCCGGAAGCAGGCGAAAACUUUUUCGCGGCGUCGAUCGAUAUCGGCCACAUGGCUUUCCGAGAAAAACCAAACGAAUGGAUUUUGCAUUCGUUUUGCUAAAUUUCUUUAAGGUGGAUUUUUUAAUCGUAAUUUAGAAAUUUGCUGCGUGGUCCUACGAGACAGAUUUAUUAUAUAUCCACUGUGAUUCGCGAAAGUAUUUAAACAACCACCCUUGUAGAAGCUUGGAAUAAAUUUCUGACAGUGAAUUUAGAAUUCAAGUAGCCUCGAUUAAAUCGUGUAACUGCGUGGUCACCGAUCGAUACAUCAGGAUCUCCUGGUGCGUUCGAGAGAGAAGGUUCAAGCGCGGCGCAGCACGGGAAUCGCGUAAAACAGGAAACGGCUCGAGGAGAGAAUCAGAGACCGAGGUUGUCCUCCAUUUUGAUCGCAAUGGGGUCAAGGUCGGGGCAUUUUAACACUGCGAGAUCGAUCGAUCGUGGCGACCGCAUCGGCCUCUCGCCGUUUGCUUCGCU